CGGUGCCUCAGAACAAACCAAGGUGAUGAGAUCCAAAGUGAACGGUGGAAGAAAUGUCCAUUAGCAGUUGCAGGUGUGGCAAAAGUGCCCUCCCAACCUUGCCGACUCCAGCCCCCAAGCAGAGAAACGCCGUCCUUGUCAACAUCUUCAAAGCACUGGUUUGCACACCCCUCCUAGAAAGGCAGGCUAUGGCAGGGCACCGGCGGAAGAGGCUGAGCCAGUGGAUCUGAGAGUAAGGGUGGAGAUGAUGGAGCACAAGGAGGGCAAGAAAAGGGAGACAAAGGUGUGUUCAUAGCUCUUUAUUCAGGUGAGAUAACAACAUUCAAAUUAUUUGAAAAAAAAAAGAAAGCCUUGUGAAUUUGGCUCUUCAAUCACAGAUUGGUACAGACAAAUCCAAAGGUCAGAACUGCAAAAUCCUGCCCUUUUCACAAAAGCUACAGUCACUUCAGCAGGAAGAACUAGUGGGAGAGAAAAGAUCUUUGAAAACACUGUGUACAUCCAACCCCAUUCUUUAUGGAUAAACAAUAAUAAAAAUCAGUGAACUCUUAACUUUCUGACUCA
rnacentral:lncRNA from 1 species